AUUGAACGCUGGCGGCAUGCUUUACACAUGCAAGUCGAACGGUAACAGGCCGCAAGGUGCUGACGAGUGGCAAACGGGUGAGUAAUGCAUCGGAACGUGCCCAGUCGUGGGGGAUAACGCAGCGAAAGCUGUGCUAAUACCGCAUACGAUCUAUGGAUGAAAGCGGGGGACCGUAAGGCCUCGCGCGAUUGGAGCGGCCGAUGUCAGAUUAGGUAGUUGGUGGGGUAAAGGCUCACCAAGACAACCAUCUGUAGCUGGUCUGAGAGGACGACCAGCCACACUGGGACUGAGACACGGCCCAGACUCCGACGGGAGGCAGCAGUGGGGAAUUUUGGACAAUGGGCGCAAGCCUGAUCCAGCAAUGCCGCGUGCAGGAAGAAGGCCUUCGGGUUGUAAACUGCUUUUGUACGGAACGAAAAGGUUUGGGUUAAUACCCUGGGCCGAUGACGGUACCGUAAGAAUAAGCACCGGCUAACUACGUGCCAGCCGCCGCAGUAA
rnacentral:rRNA from 1 species